UGGGGAAUUUUGAACAAUGGGCGCAAGCCUGAUCCAGCCAUGCCGCGUGCAGGAUGAAGGCCUUCGGGUUGUAAACUGCUUUUGUACGGAACGAAAAGGUGCCUUCUAAUAAAGGGCGCUCAUGACGGUACCGUAAGAAUAAGCACCGGCUAACUACGUGCCAGCAGCCGCGGUAAUACGUAGGGUGCGAGCGUUAAUCGGAAUUACUGGGCGUAAAGCGUGCGCAGGCGGUUUUGUAAGACAGAGGUGAAAUCCCCGGGCUCAACCUGGGAACUGCCUUUGUGACUGCAAGGCUGGAGUGCGGCAGAGGGGGGUGGAAUUCCGCGUGUAGCAGUGAAAUGCGUAGAUAUGCGGAGGAACACCUAUGGCGAAGGCAAUCCCCUGGGCCUGCACUGACGCUCAUGCACGAAAGCGUGGGGAGCAAACA
rnacentral:rRNA from 1 species